GGACAUCUAAUUCAGUGAUCGGUUCCGUUAGACAUGAUCUACGCUAUUGGAACUACCUAGAAACCAAAUUUUAUAAUUUUUUGACUUCGUUUGUCUAGUAAACGGGUAGCCUCAAAAUGAAUGGCUGAAAAUAAAAAUCUCAUAAAAAACAGUGAUAAAGGACUCAAAUUUCAAAUCAAAAGCAUUUGUCUUGCUAUUGAUGUUAAGUAGAAUUUUCUAUUAAAUUUUCAUCUAAUUUGGAUACUUCUAUCCCGUUGAACUUAAAAACGUGCCACAUCGGCCGUUAAAAUAGUCAUUUUUGAGACCUUUUGAUUGCUGAAUAAAUGAUGUCAAAAAAUUAUUAUAUUUGGUUUCUAAAUAGUUCCAAUAGAGUAGAUUAUAUUUAACGGAGACGAUCGUCGAAUCGGAUUUCCUAUCAUCGAAAAUAACUUACAAGUACGAAGGUCUCCGUACUUUCGAAAGUACAGGAGACUUACUCUAUAUAUAU
rnacentral:lncRNA from 1 species